CAGCCGCCACGGGAAUACGGAGGGUGCAAGCGUUAAUCGGAAUUACUGGGCGUAAAGCGCACGCAGGCGGUCUGACAAGUCAGAUGUGAAAUCCCCGGGCUUAACCUGGGAACUGCAUUUGAAACUGUCAGACUGGAGUCUUGUAGAGGGGGGUGGAAUUCCAGGUGUAGCGGUGAAAUGCGUAGAGAUCUGGAGGAAUACCGGUGGCGAAGGCGGCCCCCUGGACAAAGACUGACGCUCAGGUGCGAAAGCGUGGGGAGCAAACAGGAUUAGAUACCCGCGUAGUCCCUGUCUCUUAUAC
rnacentral:rRNA from 1 species